rnacentral:misc_RNA from 1 species
GGCAUCUAAAACUGGGAUUCAAACUGACAGUUACACAGUCAGUUUAGUUGAUAAUCUCCUACAGAAACCUACUGUAGAGGAACUUGUUAAGAAUCAAGCAUUAUUGGACGAUGGUAGAACAUUGCUCGAUACUGGAAUCAUAGCAGUUAGAGGUGAAGCAUGGCUGGUGCUUGCCAAGCUUGCAUGUUCCUGCCAAACAAUGAUUACAGAACUUCUAAAGAACAGAAAAGAGAUGAGUUUAUAUGAAGAUCUAGUGGCAGCCUGGGUACCUGCAAAACAUGAAUGGCUGCAAGUGCGGCCUUUGGGCAAAGAACUGAUCAGAAAAUUGGGCAAACAAAAGAUGUUUGGCUACUGUGCUUAUGAUUUGUUGUUCCUGCACUUUGGAACCUCAAGUGAAGUUUUGGAUCACUUAAGUGGGACUAGCUCAGAACUUGUAGGUCGAAGACAUUUGUGUUCCAUCCCAGCCACAACUGCAUCUGACAUUGCAGCAUCUGCUGUAGUUCUUUCUAGCAAAA